AGCUCCUGCCGAGGCCAGGGGAGGCCUGAGGCGCAAAGCAGGGUUGGGCGCAAGCCACGGCUGGAUAAGGCACCGCCCUCUCCCGGGGGGGCGGUGACUCCUCUGGACAUGAGCUGGGCCCUUCCUGUGGAUCACCCCAGCUGUGACAGGGUCACUUGCCUCUCCCACUCCAUGGAGAUGUGGGGAGGAGGUGUUCUACCUCGGCCAGCGUUGGCAGCUGACUUAGAACUGAUGCGGACCAGGGGAAUCCGACUGUUUUAAUUAAGACUAAGCAUUGCAAAGGCCAACGGUGAGUGUUGACAUAAUGUGAUUUCUGCCCAGUGCUCUGAAUGUCAACGU
rnacentral:ncRNA from 1 species